UACAGAGGAGCCAAGCGUUGUCCGGAUUGACUGGGCGUAAAGCGCACGCAGGCGGACGCGCGCGUGGGGUGUGAAAUCUGGCCGCUUAACGGCCAGGCGCCAUCCCAUACGGCGCGACUGGAGUGAUGCAGAGGUCGAUGGAAUUGCCGGUGUAGUGGUGAAAUGCGUAGAGAUCGGCAGGAACACCCAGGGGGGAAACCAGUCGACUGGGCAUCUACUGACGCUGAGGUGCGAGAGCGUGGGGAGCGAACCGG
rnacentral:rRNA from 1 species